rnacentral:rRNA from 1 species
GGAGGGGGAUAACUACUGGAAACGGUAGCUAAUACCGCAUAACGUCGCAAGACCAAAGAGGGGGACCUUCGGGCCUCUUGCCAUCGGAUGUGCCCAGAUGGGAUUAGCUUGUAGGUGAGGUAACGGCUCACCUAGGCGACGAUCCCUAGCUGGUCUGAGAGGAUGACCAGCCACACUGGAACUGAGACACGGUCCAGACUCCUACGGGAGGCAGCAGUGGGGAAUAUUGCACAAUGGGCGCAAGCCUGAUGCAGCCAUGCCGCGUGUAUGAAGAAGGCCUUCGGGUUGUAAAGUACUUUCAGCGGGGAGGAAGGGAGUGAGGUUAAUAACCUCAUUCAUUGACGUUACCCGCAGAAGAAGCACCGGCUAACUCCGUGCCAGCAGCCGCGGUAAUACGGAGGGUGCGAGCGUUAAUCGGAAUUACUGGGCGUAAAGCGCACGCAGGCGGUCUGUCAAGUCGGAUGUGAAAUCCCCGGGCUCAACCUGGGAACUGCAUUCGAAACUGGCAGGCUGGAGUCUUGUAGAGGGGGGUAGAAUUCCAGGUGUAGCGGUGAAAUGCGUAGAGAUCUGGAGGAAUACCGGUGGCGAAGGCGGCCCCCUGGACAAAGACUGACGCUCAGGUGCGAAAGCGUGGGGAGCAAACAGGAUUAGAUACCCUGGUAGUCCACGCUGUAAACGAUGUCGACGUGGAGGUUGUUCCCUUGAGGAGUGGCUUCCGGGGCUA